AAACAGUUACCAGUGAAACACUUGAAGGUUUCAGUCUUAUCUUGCACGUCCUAAGGUUCUGUGGACUCAAAGUGAUUUGCAGACAUCCUCAACGGUGAGGCUCAUGGUGACCACUCAGUGCUCUUACCAUGCAUCCAUCCAGAUCCCUCUGUCCCACCGG
rnacentral:lncRNA from 1 species